CAUCAGCGGCGCAUGCCAAAAACAUUUCCCUUGAACUAGGUGGUAGUUUGGAAGGCAAAGUUGCUUUCCACAUUUAUGUUUUCAAAUGAGGAAGCUGGGGCCUUUGAAAAUGGCCCGAGGUGCUAAGCUUGCGUACGCAGCCUAUAAAAUCUGACGAGUGUCAACGGCAAAGUAACUGCAGGCGCAAUUAACGGUAGCCAGCCAGAAAGGAAAAAAUGCUUUGGUAGUAAAUUUGCCAGCAAUAUCGUAAACUCCUUGUCUUUUUUUUCUCCCAAGAAGGACUAAAUAUGCACAAAUGAGCAUUUUCUUUGUCUGUUUUAUGUUUGGCAAGGGGCAGUUAUCGUCAUCACUGUUGUGACUUCGGCGGUGGCUUCCCACAAGACCGCGCCGAGGUAAAAUGCUGCAGGUGUGAGCAUUCUUUGGCGCACCGAGGAGGGAUGCAAGGAGCGGUCCUACGAGGCCUGACAACACCUACACCUCUGAGGCUCAAGUUUUCUUCGGUGGGGAAAAACGUGGCCUUAUCCGCUGACAGGUCCUUGUGCGUCACGUCUCCAGCAGUGAGCAGAGGGGAGCUCCCAGCGCAGCAUAAUUAAGACCUCUGUCGAAGUGACAGGGUCACUCGGAGGACAACAUCAAUUUCGUUCUCUGCCUAAUCUUUAGUACCUCAUGCACACUGGCAAUUAUGAGAUGAGCCUGACUGAAUUAAUGAACAGAAGAGAAGAUAUGAAGUGAUGAUUUAUGAGAUGUUCUCCAAAAGGAAUUAAGAUGAUAUCUAUGUCUUCAGUUCUGGCAAGGUUCACAGGCCAGUUUCAUGGAGAAGAGAGGAAUGGAAGGGAACAUUUUCUUAAUUGGACACGGAGUGCUGCUAACAAUAAGCUAUGCAUGGCGAGAUUUGCCUGGAAGAGCCGCGGCCGGGCUCAGGAUUUGCUCGAAGAGGAGUUAUAAUUGGCCCUAAGAUGAGGAGCUCAAGCCAGCUGUAAGUAUUCAGACUGUGACAGUGGACUCAUAUUCGCUUCUCCUCCGUGAAAAUGAGCUCAAGAUUCACAGCCUCGGGAGACAUAAUACAUGUCACAGCCUACAAUAAUGGUUAAUUUGAAAUCAUGUAGCACCACCCCACGCCCCCCACACCUCUCUGUCGCCAUCUGCCCCUUCUAGUUCACUUCCCCUCUCUCUCCACCAUCCCCGUCGCACUGAAAUAACCCAUUCAUCCUAAAAAUGGUUUUCAUCUUUUCCUGCCUCCACCCCCAGCCCACCCCCGCGCACCAUUAGUCCCAUCCCCUCCGUGCUCUAACCACCAAAUGCAUUUCCUAGAUUUUCUCAGUCGCAACCAUUAUCAUCCUGGAGCUAAUGUUUUAAAUUCAAUUGCGGCAAUCCAUAUCCAGGCCAAAUUACUGUUUCCCGUUUUAAGCGGAGGAUUCCCAACACAAGAAAGCACGUCUGUGGAGCAAAGAUAAAAGCGACUCGCUCGACAUAUAUGCAAGAAUUCCCAAACAGCGCUGCGUUUGUUCAUUACAUAUUCACACAAAACGUCACACAACAAUCAACCUCCUCCACCAGCUUUUGAACACACGAAAGCCAAUGAGCUCCUGAGCAUUCUGAUUCAUGGACAUUUUCCAAAAGUGUACACACACACACACACACACACACACACACACGACCCUCUUUGCUCCCUUUCCAGCUGUAGGAAAACUGCAACUUGGGCUAUU